rnacentral:misc_RNA from 1 species
GGGGGGGGGGUGUUGCGGAGCCACCACUUUUCCCUUUUCAGCAAAAAUAUCAAAUCCCACUAAUCCCAUGGACCUCCCAUUUUUCUCUGUCUGUAAAAGCUAUAUGAAAAUGUUUUAGAAGAAAAUCAGAGGGAACAUUUUAAUACAAGGAAACCGAUACAGAAACAAAAAAUGUUUGUGAACACAGUUUAAUUGCCAGAUCAUUAGAUAAAGCACAUCAACAACAUUAUCCAUAAGAAUAUAUGCAAAUUUUAAUUUGAU